GGAGAGAUGGCCGAGUGGUCGAAGGCGCAGCAUUGGAAAUGCUGUAACGGGUUUCCCCCGUUCGUGGGUUCGAAUCCCAUUCUCUCCU
rnacentral:tRNA from 1 species